rnacentral:rRNA from 1 species
CCUACGGGAGGCAGCAGUAGGGAAUUUUCCACAAUGGGCGAAAGCCUGAUGGAGCAACGCCGCGUGGGUGAAGAAGGUCUUCGGAUCGUAAAACCCUGUUGUCAGAGAAGAAAGUGUGUGAGAGUAACUGUCAGCGUUUCGACGGUAUAUAACCACAAAGUCACGGCGAACUACCUGCCAGCAGCAGCGGUAAUACGUAGGUGGCAAGCGUUAUCCGGAUUUAUUGGGCGUAAAGGGAACGCAGGCGGUCUUUUAAGUCUGAUGUGAAAGCCUUCGGCUUAACCGGGGUAGUGCAUUGGAAACUGGGGGACUUGAGUGCAGAAGAGGAGAGUGGAACUCCAUGGGUAGCGGUGAAAUGCGUAGAUAUAUGGAAGAACACCAGUGGCGAAAGCGGCUCUCUGGUCUGUAACUGACGCUGAGGUUCGAAAGCGUGGGGAGCAAACAGGAUUAGAUACCCCAGUAGUC